GCCCGGCUAGCUCAAUGGGUAAGUUCACCAUGUUCAUUCUUAAAAAAUCCCACUAAUACCUUCCAGUCAGAGCGUCUGACUUUUAAUCAGAAGGCUGUGGGUUCGAGUCCCACGUCGGGCG
rnacentral:tRNA from 1 species